UACGGAGGGGGCAAGCGUUACUCGGAAUUAUUGGGCGUAAAGGGUGCGUAGGCGGGUCUUUAAGUCAGGGGUGAAAUCCUGGAGCUCAACUCCAGAACUGCCUUUGAUACUGAAGAUCUUGAGUUCGGGAGAGGUGAGUGGAACUGCGAGUGUAGAGGUGAAAUUCGUAGAUAUUCGCAAGAACACCAGUGGCGAAGGCGGCUCACUGGCCCGAUACUGACGCUGAGGCACGAAAGCGUGGGGAGCAAACAGG
rnacentral:rRNA from 1 species